rnacentral:rRNA from 1 species
GGGCCUACGGGGCGCAGCAGUGAGGAAUAUUGGUCAAUGGCCGGAAGGCUGAACCAGCCAAGCCGCGUGAGGGAGGAAGGCGCAGAGCGUCGCAGACCUCUUUUGCCGGGGGACAAAAGGCCGGACUCGUCCGGUCCUGAGGGUACCCGGAGAAAAAGCAUCGGCUAACUCCGUGCCAGCAGCCGCGGUAAUACGGGGGAUCCGAGCGUUAUCCGGAUUUAUUGGGUUUAAAGGGAGCGUAGAUGGGUUGUUAAGUCAGUUGUGAAAGUUUGCGGCUCAACCGUAAAAUUGCAAUUGAUACUUGC